UUGGCAAACUUUAAGGGAGGAGAUAAAGAUGAGAUGUUAAUGGAGGCCUUCAUGGCGGAUACGAAUUUGGGACAUGAUAUGAAUGCGCCCAUUCGUCAUUAUCCUGCUUUCUGAUGAGCGAUUUUUCUCAGGUGUCGGACAGGAGCCUACAUACUAUUAACACUUUCAUCAUGAGACUCACAACAACCAAUAUAGGUUAUACCUUGUACAGCCUCUUCACGAUUGAUAGCUCAACCAUCCUAAUGCUGUCGGGAACUAUGCUGACGUAUGUGGUGGUGGUUCUGCAGUUCAAGACUGACUAACUGUAUCUGGAUGUGAAGACAUAGAUCGUGGGAACUCGGGAACUGUCAGGAAGAUUUGAAUGAUCAGCCAUAUGCACGAUGACGAGGAAUGACAAGUUCUCAUCCGUUGAUAAAUACUAUACACAUUGUAU